rnacentral:tRNA from 1 species
CAGAGUAUAGUUUAAAAAAAAUUUUAAUUUUGGAGAUUAAAGAUGGAAGUAAUUUUUUUACUCUGA